AGUGAACGCUGGCGGUAGGCCUAACACAUGCAAGUCGAACGGCAGCACAGUAAGAGCUUGCUCUUACGGGUGGCGAGUGGCGGACGGGUGAGGAAUACAUCGGAAUCUACUUUUUCGUGGGGGAUAACGUAGGGAAACUUACGCUAAUACCGCAUACGACCUACGGGUGAAAGCAGGGGAUCUUCGGACCUUGCGCGAUUGAAUGAGCCGAUGUCGGAUUAGCUAGUUGGCGGGGUAAAGGCCUACCAAGGCGACGAUCCGUAGCUGGUCUGAGAGGAUGAUCCGCGACACUGGGACUGAGACACGGCCCAGACUCCUACGGGAGGCAGCAGUGGGGAAUAUUGGACAAGGGGCGAAAGCCUGAUCCAGCAAUGCCGCGUGAGUGAUGAAGGCCUUAGGGAUGAAAAGCUCUUUUACCCGGGAUGAUAAUGACAGUACCGGGAGAAUAAGCGCCGGCUAACUCCGUG
rnacentral:rRNA from 1 species